AAUGAACGCUGGCGGCAGGCCUAAAACAUGCAAGUCGAACGCCCUAGCAAUAGGGAGUGGCGCACGGGUGAGUAACAUGUGGGAAUAUGCCUUUUGGUACGGAACAACGUUUGGAAACGAACGCUAAUACCGUAUGGUCCCUCCGGGGUAAAGAUUUAUCGCAAAAAGAUUAGCCCGCACUAGAUUAGAUAGUUGGUAAGGUAAUGUCUUACCAAGGCGACGAUCUAUAGCUGUUCUGAGAGGAAGAUCAGCCACACUGGGACUGAGGCACGGCCCAGACUCCUACGGGUGGCAGCGAUUAGGAAUAUUGGACAAUGGGCGGAAGCCUGAUCCAGCCAUGCCGCGUUAGUGAUGAAGGCCUUCGGGUUGUAAAGCUCUUUAGCCGACGAAUAUAAUGACUGUAGUCGGAGAAUAAGCCCCGGCUAACUUCGUGCCAGCCGCCGCCGUAACAC
rnacentral:rRNA from 1 species